UCUGUGGUCUGGGCUUCUGUUGGCUGUAGAAGCUGAGCCUGUUUCUCCAGUGUAGCAUCCCCUCAGGAGGCCUUGUGGUGGAGUGAGAGGACUGAUGCUGAAGCUGAAGCUCCAAACUCUGGCCACCUGAAGUGAAGAGCCUACUCAUUGGAAAAGAUCCUGAUGCUGGGAAAGAUUUAAGAAGAGUUUGGGCUUUGGAAUCAAACAGACAAGAGCACAAACCACAGCUCCACAACAUGUGACCUUGGACAAGCACCUUUACCUCUUCUCUACAUGUUGGUUUCCCUCCUUGUAAUAUGGGAUGGAGACUAGUAACUGCCUCCUCUGCUGGUAAAUAAGAUACAAUCCAAAGGCACAGAGCACCUGGCCCAGAGAGAUUGCUUCGUAUCUGCUAUCCAGCAUGGCCAUCUGAUGGGGCCUGGACCUGGCUAAUUGUGGGCCCUGCUCCUCCCUCUGCCUGAGCCCCCAGCAGCUUCUCUGACCCAGCUGGAGGAAGAAGCUCUGAUGGGCAUCUCCUGUCCGUGCACAUCAAGUUAUUUCUAGUUGAUUUGUUAUUGUGGUUGUUGUGGUUGUUAUUUCUACUAAGAACAUUGAGCUAUGAAUAAACUGUGCAUUUUUCUUGAUGAAUGUGGAAAAGAGAUUCUCUAGGGUGUACAUAAUAAUAA
ensembl:lncRNA